rnacentral:rRNA from 1 species
UCGAACGAGAGCGACCGGUGCUUGCACUGGUCAAUCUAGUGGCGAACGGGUGAGUAACACGUGGGUAACCUGCCCAUCAGAGGGGGAUAACAUUCGGAAACGGAUGCUAAAACCGCAUAGGUCCUUUAACCGCAUGGUUGAAGGAGGAAAAGAGGCGCAAGCUUCUGCUGAUGGAUGGACCCGCGGUGCAUUAGCUAGUUGGUGAGGUAACGGCUCACCAAGGCCGUGAUGCAUAGCCGACCUGAGAGGGUGAUCGGCCACAUUGGGACUGAGACACGGCCCAAACUCCUACGGGAGGCAGCAGUAGGGAAUCUUCCGCAAUGGACGCAAGUCUGACGGAGCAACGCCGCGUGAGUGAAGAAGGUUUUCGGAUCGUAAAACUCUGUUGUUAGAGAAGAACAAGUGCUAGAGUAACUGUUAGCGCCUUGACGGUAUCUAACCAGAAAGCCACGGCUAACUACGUGCCAGCAGCCGCGGUAAUACGUAGGUGGCAAACGUUGUCCGGAUUUAUUGGGCGUAAAGCGAGCGCAGGCGGUUCCUUAAGUCUGAUGUGAAAGCCCCCGGCUCAACCGGGGAGGGUCAUUGGAAACUGGGGAACUUGAGUGCAGAAGAGGAGAGUGGAAUUCCAUGUGUAGCGGUGAAAUGCGUAGAUAUAUGGAGGAACACCAGUGGCGAAGGCGACUCUCUGGUCUGUAACUGACGCUGAGGCUCGAAAGCGUGGGUAGCAAACAGGAUU